AGUGUCGACAAAGCGCCAGCCCCGGCACUCAGCCGUUGAGCUGUUUUAUAGGAAGUUUCCACAGCUAUCUUUUUUGAUACAAACUGGAGUUGGAAUUGGCUUGCUGUUACUCCUGAGUGCCGGGUGACGAGGAAGGGACUUAUCGAAAGUAUCGGCGGAUGGUCCCUCGGUGUGCCACCAUCGUGAGCCUUGCUACAAAACCUACCGGCAACGGUCGGGACAAAAGGCAAGGCGAGUGGAGAU
rnacentral:ncRNA from 2 species